GAUCAUGGCUCAGAUUGAACGCUGGCGGCAGGCCUAACACAUGCAAGUCGAACGGCAGCACUAUUUAGUUUACUAGAGAGGUGGCGAGUGGCGAACGGGUGAGUAACGCGUAGGAAUAUACCUUUAAAAGAGGGGGGGACAACCUGGGGGAAACUCAGGCUAAUACCGCAUACGUCCUACGGGAGAAANCGGGGGAUCUUCGGACCUCGCGCCAUUAGAUGAGCCUAGGUCGGAUUAGCUAGUUGGUGAGGUAAUGGCUCACCAAGGCGACGAUCCGUAACUGGUCUGAGAGGAUGAUCAGUCACACUGGAACUGAGACACGGUCCAGACUCCUACGGGAGGCAGCAGUGGGGAAUAUUGGACAAUGGGCGAAAGCCUGAUCCAGCCAUGCCGCGUGUGUGAAGAAGGUCUUCGGAUUGUAAAGCACUUUAAGUUGGGAGGAAGGGUAGUAACCUAAUACGUUGCUACUUUGACGUUACCGACAGAAUAAGCACCGGCUAACUUCGUG
rnacentral:rRNA from 1 species